rnacentral:misc_RNA from 1 species
GAUGAAGAACGCAGCGAAAUGCGAUAAGUAAUGUGAAUUGCAGAAUUCAGUGAAUCAUCGAAUCUUUGAACGCACCUUGCGCUCCUUGGCAUUCCGAGGAGCAUGCCUGUUUGAGUGUCAUUAAAUUCUCAAGACCUGUCUGCUUUUUUGAUAGGUAUUGGAUUUUGGGGGUUGCAGGCUGUUUCAAAUAAAUAGCCUUGCUCUCCUUGAAUGUAUUAGUGGAGAAAAGCCAUUGAACUCCAUUGGUGUGAUAAAACCUAUCAAUGCCAGGAGCAAUAUCACUACUUCUCUCUGCUGUCUAACUGUGACUGUCUGUAUUAAUUAGUAUGGAUGGGGACAACUUGACCAACUUGACCUCAAAUCAGGUAGGACUACCCGCUGAACUUAAGCAUACAAUAAGCGGAGGA